rnacentral:lncRNA from 1 species
GAUGAGAGCCUUCUAGAUGCCAUGGCAGAUUAUGUAAAACAUGGUAUAAGGACAAAUGGCGUUUUCGGUAGAGCUGCAUGUUAAAAUAAUAGCUACAACGUGUAAGCAAUAUGGUUUGAUAAAUUAAGCAUAAAAAAUAGAUUGAAAUCUUUGAAUACAUAUUAUACCCAGAUCAAAAAAAUUUCUUGGGGAGUUUUUGUUAAUAGUAUGCUUUAGGAAAGAAUAAUAGAGGUGAUGUCUAUAAGGAGCUCAAUUUCUCAAAGUAGGUCUGACCAUAAUUUCGGAGUACAACUGAUAGAGGAAAUUACAACACAAAUGUGAGUUACAUACCAAAGGCAUCAUAAUAGUUAAUGUAUUUGUAUGUGUGCGUGUGGUAUAUCUUUGUUCUCUCUCUCUCAACAAUAUUUUCUUAGACAUUGCUCAUUGGUAACCUUUUGAUAUGGAUACAUACUAAUGUUUUGCAUUGUACUUGUGUGAAUGCAGCUUCAAUUUAUUGUUGUCCACUCUUAAUUUACAUAGAGAUAAGAAGAAACUUCAAUCUGAACUGUACAUUUUAUAACAAACACAUAAGAAGAGUUUGGAGCAAAAAAAUACGAUUCAAAAUAUGCAUUUCACACAUCAAAUCAGUGAAAUAGAUAAUAAACGGCUAAAUUAGGCAGCUUCUAGCUUUCCCAAUGUCAAACAACUAAAAUAACAGCACCACAGGUUAUUAAACAAGGUUCUCAGCUUUCAGGCUACUAAUUUUCACUUUUCUUUUUGAUUCGAGGAAACUCAACAAUUGGGAUUUUUAUGAGGUAACUACCUAGAAAGUUAUUGAACGUUCCUUUAAUUUUUGGAUUCUCUUUCCCAAUAUAUUUUUUACAGUUGUAAUUCUACAAAAAAAAAAAAAGAAAAAAAAAGGUUUCUAGUACUAUGCACGUUGGGAGUCAACCGCAUAAACCGUCUAUUCACCAUGCAUUUACAUCAACAAAAGGUCGAGAUAAGUUAUCAUUAUAGAGAUAACUUAAAUGCAAAACAAUGUCUUUUAUCCCCUGUGGGCAAAGGAUAAAUGGUAGACAACUGGUAUGUGUUACCAUGUAUCGCUAUACAAACUCUUUUAUGAGUGGGAAAAGAAAAAAGAAUGAUACACCAUUUUUUAGCAGCAAGUUGAGUCAACUCAACCUACCUAGUUGGGCAACUUUAAUAGAUGCACUCAUUUUUCUCUUAUAUAUUAAUACAUUUUCAUUAUUUUUACUGAUAAAUAUUUUAUUCUUGGCCGUAGCAUUGUAGCAUGCGCGGUUGAUGAGUAGGGUUUGGUUCCCCAUAAUACAUUAUUUAAAAAAAUUCACUUAGAAGUCAUACUCAAAUCAUUAAAUUGCUUUGACUUUGAGUUCAUUAACUGCUUUGGCAUGUCCACUAACCAGCUAUUGAAUUUACACUCAAUCAUUUAAGGGAUCAUGGACUUUUAUAAAAUCACUAAAGGGUUUAAAAUAUCUUAAUUAAUAUUAUAUAGUUUAGCCUUUGGUUUUCAUUUCAUUAAAGCCUCCUCCAAAAAUAUCUUCAAACAUGUAUAAAUAUUCAUUUUUCAAUGUUGAGAAUCUUGAAUAAGUAGGGCAUUUUAGUAAUUUGACCGGUUUGACCCCCUCACAUUCAGUUUUAAGCCCAUCGUUAUAGUCGCAUAUUGUAUUUAUUUGUGUUUAAUGAAAUAUGCCUAAUCUCAAGACAAUUAACCAACCAAUAUUCUUGUUUAUACCCCUGCUUAUUAAUGACUAGAAAAAGACAUUAUUUAGGCUGCUCAUGCAAGUCAUAAAUAACACAAAAUUGUAAAUGUGUUUGGCCUUAUAAGGAAAGAUAUAUUUCUCUCCAAUCUUGAUCAAUCUUAUCUAAGGUAUAAAAAAUUAUGAACCGGAUAUGAACCAGUCAGUUCAGAUAGGGAAUCGGUCCAUCUAAUUCUGCUUAAGUAUCAAGAACCAACUGGUUCUAUUAGAGAACCGAUCCCACAUGUAUUUUUUAAAAAUAUUUUUUCAAUUUUUUUGUUUUCUAACUUCUUUUUAUUUUUUAUUCUCCGAUGCACUCGAUUGGAUCACCAAUCUUCCUAUAUGUAUAGAUAUUCCUAAGGGGUGGUGCAGGUCAUCAUACCAUAUUUUUAAACCUUGAUCUAAUAUCUAGCUCAAUCAAAAUCAACCAUAAAUCUUAAUAUUUUAUAAGAUUUAAUAUAUAAGAUUUCAGCCGCCUCUCAUGAUGAUCCACCUGCGAAUGAUAAAGGACAUUCCUCAAUACUAGUCCACACAUAUGUGCAAAUGGCUUAUUGCAAUCCAGCUAGCCCUUUGCAAUAUUCCUAAUUUGACUUAAAAAUACCAAUCAUGGUCAUACCCUAUCAAAACCCUAGAAACCUAGAAACAAUGAAAUAUUGAGGGUGUCACAAAAUUGUUAAAAUAAAGUCACAAAAUUGAAAAAAUUACAAAAAUUAGAAAAAAAUAUUAAUAAAUGUUGUGUACUUUGGCGUUGUAAUAAAAUAACUAAAAACGCCUUGAGUUUUCAAAAUACUUUAGGUUUCAGGCAGAAUAUAACUAGUUCAACUCUUCUUAUAAACCAUUUCUUAGACUCAAACAUAAAUGGGCCAAUGUUGAUGUUCUUUUGCUCUAUAAAGCGAUAUGACACAUACUUAUUUUUGGACUAUUACUAUUAUUCAUUAGAACAAGUAAUACCAUCUCGAUUAGGUGGGUCCCAAUAGUCCAACCUUAAUGUUACCCGACUUUUGCAUCUGUCACACCAUACAAUGCUGAAGGUUUUUGAUAUUUUAGGUUUCAAACAUGGAUAUAGUUCUUGGCUCUUACUGCAAACUAUUUUGAGGACUUUGGAUUUCAGAUGGACUAAUGUGUAUGUCUCUCUUUCUUUCUUUCUUUUUUCCUUUUUUUCUUUGUAUAUUCAUAUUAACUUACAUUAAAUAUAAGAGAGUAAGGCUUCAUAGUUGCAAUAGUUAAAAGAGGAAGAAAUAGGGAGAUACAUGUCUUUACUUCCAGGGAUGUCCAUCCUAAACUAACAAACACAAACACUCCUCACCCUCGAUGGUCCCUACAUUGCUAAUGAACCAAGGACCCCAACUAUCCUAUUCAAAGUACCUUCCGUAGAACAUUAGCUCUUUGACCUCUUCCACUCAACCCAAACCUCACACCAUGACCCUCAAUGAACUCCAUCUCAUAUACAAUGACAGCUCGAGCCAAGGUUGGGAUUGUGCACCACCUUACACUAACUCUGACGGCACCUAUAAGGAAGUCGGCAAAAUCUUGGCAGCAUCCUAGUGGAAAGUGGAGUCCAAACAAGCGAUCGUAAUGUAGGGUUUUAAUAAAUUUUGGUUGACAGGAGGUGGAAGAGAGAAAAGGCUAAAGAGAAGGAAGAUUGGAGAAAGGCAGCGAGCUAACAUAGGAGAAAAUUAAGAAGCGGCAAUAGAGGAGCCAAUUAUGUCUACUCACCAAGUUAUUAUAUUGCCGCAAUUACGAAGAUGAAAUCCCUCAAGCUUUAACUCUAGCAACAUGGCUCAUGUAGGUCCAUUAAUAGGCAACUCCCCAUCUUUGGUGUUAAUACAAUGUUGCAAAAUAUGCUCUUUGCAAAAAAGAAGACAUGAGAGACUGUUGAAACCAGCUGAAGGAGAGAAGGCUUCCAACAAGGGGAGCUAGACGAGGCAACACCGGUGCAGAUCGGAGACCAAAGAGGUCUCGACGAGAUGUCAAGUGCUACAUUGAUUGUGAUUACUGGUUAAAGAAAAAAAAAGUUAGAUGAAGGAAAUACGGUGACGGCGACAAAUCAUCAAGGCGAGAUCAAAGAAGAAUGGGAUGUUCAAUCAUCCCUUACAAUAGCAAAAGAGACCGAACUGAUAAGCUUGUGAUUGGCCUACGAAAAAACAUGACAAUUGGAGGAACCUGAGGAGCUAGCGCUCAGCACAGUUUAUAGCUCUGAAGUCAUCUAUACAACUGAGACUGGAUUGUUGACUCAGGGUGCUCUAAUCAUAUGAUAGGAGACAAAGCUAAAUUCCUCAUCUUGGUUGAGUACAAGGGAGGCAAAGUUCUUGUUUCAACAAUAAUGCAAGGUUGCCUAUCACCCAUGUAUGCCUCGAUUUAGUACAGGAGAGGCCCAACUACAAGACGUGCACCAUUUGCCAGGAAUGAAGAAAAAGUUGCUGUCAGUAUCACAAUUGACAACAACUGGCAACUUCGUCAUGUUUGGCCGAGAUGAUGUCAAGGUGUGUCGAAGUUGAAGUUGCCAGACCAGUCAAUUAUGAAGGGCCAACAACUGAACUUUGUAUUCGUAAUGUCAACUGAGCCAGCUUAUGUAUAGAAGGCUCGACGAAGCGAGAAUGCCGAUCUAUGGCAUGCUCAGCUAGGACACGAAGGAUUCUGCAUGCUAAAGAUUAUGAUGGAUCGAUCAAUGUUGAGGGGACUUGCUCAGCUAGAAGUCCAAACAUAUGUUGUGUGUAUGUGUUGUUAGUUUAACAAAGCUCAUCGACAACCAUACACUGAAUCAAAUUAUCAAGCUACAAGGCUACUGGAGAUUAUCCACUUAGAUAUAAGCAACACUUGGUCAAAGGAAUGAAAUACAUGCUUACUUUCAUCAAUAACUAUUCAAUGUAUGUAUGGGUGUAUCUAAUGAAGGAAAUGUCAGAGAUCUUCAAAAAGUUCAGAGAAUUUCAAACAAAGGUCGAGGGGGAGAUUGGUAAGAAGAUUUGGUACCUAUACACUGACAAUGGAGGAGAGUACACAGAUGAAAUUCUCAUCCUAUAUAAAGAAGGCUAGCAUUCGACGCCAACUAACCUGUCCCCACACCCCACAGUAAAAUGGAUUAGCUGAACGGAAGAAUCAACACUUGGAUGAUACAUGCAGGAGUAUGUUUCAUGCCAAAAACAUGUUAGGUAGAUUUUGGGGGGAGUGUAUGAAGAAAACUCAUAUCAUUAAUCAGUUACCUCAACUAAAAUUGGGAUUUAUCUCAUCAUACGAGAGAUUAUGGAAGAUCAAAUCGAUUGUAAGUCAUUUCAAAAGUAUUUGGUUGUAUAUGCUAUGUGCUUAUUCCAAAACAUUUGCCCAACAAGCUCGAGAAGAAGAUGGUAUGGUGCAUAUUUGGGGGAUAUGACACCGAAAUGAAAGGGUGGAGGUGUUGUGACCCCACAACCGAGCGAUGCUACACAUCAUGGGAUGUGGUGUUCGAUGAAGUGUCGCCUUGGUGGACUUUAGAAAUUGUAAAAGUAUCAGAUACUGGAGACAAACAAAGACCAAAGACCGAUGAGACUUUGGAAGGAGAGCAUGACGAACCAAACCAGAAGAAUGAGAUGUAGCACAACUCACCAGUCACACCAAGAAGAUCUUCCAAUUCACGGAGAGAUGGUAUCCACCAAACAAGGACACUUGAAGAGGCUCGACCAUGUCAAAUAGAACAGAUCGUUGAAGAGCCACAACUACAAUGAUUCAAACAGAGAAAAAAACUAAAUCUUAAAUAAGUGGAUGUUGUACUAGUUGAGGUAGAUGAUGUACGAGAAGUGGUUGCAUACAAAGAUGUCCGUCAGAGUACAAACUAGCAAAAGGCCACAACAGAGGAAAUCUUCGCAGUAGAAAAGAACUAGACUUGGGAUUUGGUUCCUAAAUCGAAAGGGGUAAAACUUAUCUCUUGUCGAUGGGUGUACGAAGUAAAGACUCGUAACGAUGGGUCAGUUGAAAGAUAUAGGGCUAGACUAGUGGCCCAAGGCUUUUCAUAAUAGUAUGGGAUCGACUGUGAGGAAACUUUUAGUAUUGUGGCGAAAAUCACGACAAUGCGUGUACUGACAGCAAGCAAGUCGCGGAAAUUGUGGCAGAUGGAUGUAAAGAAUGCCUUUCUUUAUAGAGAGGUCGAUCGACACAUCUAUAUAGAGCAAAAAAAAGGUUUCGAGAGUAGGAAUUGACUAAAUUAUGUAUGCGAGCUCAAUACUACCUUAUAUGUACUAAAAUAGACACCGAGGCCCUAGUAUGACAAGAUUACGGUGUUGCUAUGUAGAAUGGAUACUAUGUCACACCUGUUGACUCAAGCAUGUUUGUCAAAUUCAAAGAUGACCGACUAUCUAUUAUAUUUGUCCAUGUUUACGCUGAAGAAAUCUACCAUAUAAAGAAGAAUAUGCCAGUUAGAUUUGAGAUGGAAGAGCUUAGGAAGCUCAAACAUUUUUUGGGUCUUGAAAUUGAUGAUCGAGUAAAGGAAGGGCCAUUCUUUUGUGUCAACAAAAGUACACUAGAGACCUAUUACAAAAGUAUGGUAUAAUCGACUACAAACCAAUAUCGACACUACUGGAGACAAACGUGAUGCUAAGUGCAGAUGAAGGAGAAGGUCUCAAGGACCCAACCAUAUAGAGACAAAUUGUCGACAGCUUGAUCUAUCUGACAUUGACUAGGUUUGACAUUGCACAUGCAAUUAGAGUGGUCAGCCGAUUCAUGCAGAAUCCAAGGAAACCUCAUUUAGAAGCCGUUCACAGAAUUUUUCGAUACAUCAAAACUAUCGCUGACUACGGAUUGUUGUGUGAGAGGGAAAAAUAGGAGUUGGUUGGAAAUUGUGAUGCCGACUUUACCGGUGACCAAACAACUUGCGAUCUACUACUGGGUAUUAUUUCAGUAUCAGAUCAACAACAAUCUCUUAGUGUAAUAAAAGACAACCCACUUUCUCCUUGUCAACCACCAAAGCGAAAUAUAGAUAUAAAACAAUGGCUGAAUAAGAACUUUUAAUAUAAUGAUUAAAGAGAGAGAAUAUGUAAUGAGUGAUAAAUGAGUGUCUAAUAAUUGUGAUGAAUUAUUUUUUAUGGGAUUAUUUCUUUCUCUAGUUUGUAGAUGUAUAAACACUAAUUUUACAGGAAUUCUGGCACGUAUCUGAGCCUAGAAAAAAUCCUACACUGUAAUUAUAUUCAAAUUGAGAUCUAGAAUAAAGAGCGAUUAGUGUCGAAUAACGACUUAUUGAGCUGUAUUUAUCCAAUCCUUUGUCAUAAUAAUUGAAUGGGGGUACUUAAUAUAUAACAUGUGUGAGCGAAGAGAACAAGUCUGGCAUGGGUUAGAGAGUGUGACACCUGAGAUAAGAUGAAUUCGACUGCUCCAUGAGUUAGGUCCAUCUGAUACAAGCAAGUUUAGCUUGCCCAGUGUAACUCGAUAGGUUUGAGCAGUCUAGAGUCCGAAAAGGUGUCUAGAGUCGUGAAAACCUAUACUACAGGCCUCCGCCCAAUAAACCUAGUUUCCAAAGAGGGUUUUGGAGUUAUUUUUUUGUUAAGGUCAAAGAUAGUCUUGUGAGAUGCCAGGAGGAAGAUGGACUCUCACGUUUUGCUGAAAGCAUGUGAGGACGAGGGCUCCUCAACAUUAUCACCUGAUGGCAUAUGCGGGGGUCCUGUUGGUAAGUUUCCCACUAAUUUCCUUUUAUUUCAUUAUUUUUAUUUUUUUGAAUGCUUUGACCUGAUUUUAGUUUUAGUUUUCAAUUUUAAUUUUAAAUUUGUUUUAUUUUUCUUUAUUUUAAAAUUUUAAGGUUUUAGCCAUUUGAGCAAGAUCUAGUCGGCAAUACUUACUGUUUAGAACAAAGGAGCAGUAAGUCUCGCAACUGCAAACUAUGUUUUCGCUAACCCUGAUCUUUUAAUUUUUCAUAUGAUAGUUUUUUUUUGUUUUCACCCAAAUCAGAUAGGGUAAGUUUUGAACAUCAUAAGCUUUAUUUAAAAUAGAACCGAUAGAUUCAAAUAUAGGAGGGAGUGAUUCACUUCACUUCGGCAUCAAUAAAAAACCUAAAGAUUUUAUCCAAAACUAGGCGAAUUUGAUAGAGCUCCUGUUAAAUUUGUCCCAAACUACCAAACAAGUCGACCUGCAAUUUUAAAAGAAUCAAGCUUGGGCUUGAAUGACUCAAGUAUCGAUUGCUAUCCUAGGUCCCUACUUCGAAUCCAUGGGCUUUAAUUAAAAAGAACAAAAAAGAAAUUCAAUAUAUAUAUAUAUAUAUAUAUAUAUACACGUUUUUUUGAAAAAAAUGACAGCAAAACAUUCCAAAUUUUUGACAAUGAAAUCCCGUGAAAAGCUAAGAUCCUGAAGACAAAUUUGAAAUUAUUUGUUGUGAAACAAACGAGUGAAACCAGCUCAACCGUGAAAAGGUAGGAAAGUUUCGUGACUUUGCCCUAUAUGUUCACGGUUAUCAAACUACCCAACACAAGAAGUAAUUUGCGUGAGAGAGUAAGUGUAUACAGUACUCCUUCGGGAGUACGCUCCAUGCGCGAGAAAAGAUGAGAGGCUGAGGGAGCCGCAGCGAGAAACUUCUGGUCAGAAUUGGGGUAAGCCAUGAACAGAAGAGUGAGGAACUGCUGGUGGGCAAGGCGCUAUAAUUGUUGGUCUGGAAACCCUAGAGAGAGAGAGAGAAGCUUAGAGAGAGACAGAGAUGACUGCGCUUCCUCCGAGCUCUGCCGGGUGCUCCUUUGGAAGGCCAAUUUCGAACAACAACUGCCCAAAAUCUUGCAGAGCUCUCUCAUCCAUUUCUACAUUGAACCCACGUUCACCAUUUCUCAAAAGAGGUUGGUUCUUUUUCUUUUUCUCAUUCUCCUCCUCCUCCUCCUAGAAUUCCUAGUCUUUUAAUAUUGUAACCGUUGCUUUUUUCUUUUCUCAGUUUCCCAUUUGUGGAUUCAGUUUGUUUGAAUUUUUGGAUGAAAUAUUGUCCGAUUUUCUUGUUUUUCAACUAUGGUAAAUCGUUGUACUCGAAUGAGGUAAUGAACAAUGGUGAUGAGAAUCAGGGGAAAUAAAUGGAAAAAUAAUCAUGAUUGCCUUGCCAUUUAUUUCCCCACCAUUGGUCUUUACCUCGUAUUGAGUACAAUGGUUCGCUAGAGAAAAAGGAAUUUGAGAGUUGUGAAAAAUGGCGCGGAAUUGGUUGGUAUUGAUUUUGAUAAAUCUGGAAAAAUUGUGGUCUUUAAAGUCCUCUAAGGCUCUAAAAUAUGAAUGUGAGUAUUGUGUUGCUAUGCUUCUUUUUUCUUUCUCUACGCUUUCUUCAUUUUAAAUUUUUGAACGCCAACAACAUUAUCUCAGACACUGAGAUAUUAGUUUCUAUCAUGACCUAGAGCUCAAUUGGCUUUGUAGAAUGUCAUGGACAUUGGAAUGAAUGUGGUGUCUUAGUUGCACGAAUUGACGACAAGUUCAUUUUUUCAAAUGAAUAAGGGCAUAUUGGUAUCUGGGAUGUUGGAAAUUUUAGAUUAUAUUAUCUCAAAUGAAAUAAUUGCUCAUGGAAAUCCUCACCUCAUGUGGAUGUGUAUCAGUAUCUAAAAUGUAUAAUCUCCAUGUUUUUCUGCAUUAUCCCACACACAACCCCCCCCCCCCCCUUUUUUUUCUGAUCUUUGAAAUGAAGGCAAAUAGUUGGGAUAAGGCUUGGAUGAUAGUGAUGAUGAACAAAAUCCCGUUGUUCAUCUUGCUAUCCAAAAUGCUGCUAUUGGGAUAUCGACAUUUUCUAAAAGACUUAAGGUAUUCAAGUCUAAUGCUCAAUUUUUUUCCACUGUUCCUUUGUGAAAACCAUGAUACAAAGACACAGAUACUUUGUCAGCAUCUGACAUGGAUCAAACAUGUGCUGAUUGCUGAAUACUAAUUCCAUGCAUGGCAAAUUACAUAGGUGAAAAAAAUGCCAAGGAUGAGAUCAGCGUCUUAGAAUUUUUUUUUGUAGAUGUUGAGACUAUGUCAUUUAUCAGAUGAUCAGCAUUGCAUAGUGGGUUUGAAUCACACACCAGAAUGGAUGGAGAAAUGGGAAUUGCGUGUUGUUAAAAGCUCCAUGUGACGCAUAUGUUGGGGAGUAGAAACCCUUUGCUCUAAAUAGAAAAGAGGGACUACCCAUGAUAUAUUCAAAGGACUUCCCUAAUAAUUUAUCAUGUAAUUCACAUGUGUCAAGGGCUUCAUAUUUGUGUUUUUAAGUAUUAAAAAAUUCAGCCGCCUGGCCGCCUCGGCAGUCUAUACAGGAAGCCGAACUAGAUGGCCCUAGGUGGGCGCUCUAGGCGGCCACCUUUUUCCCUAGGCGUGCAUUUAGGCAAGCUUAAGGCAGGCACCUAGGAGGGCCACGGUGCCCAUCUAGUGCCAUCUUGUCAAAAUAAAUAAUAAAAAUAAAAUAAAAUAAAGACAUAGCCCUGUUUUAAAAAACUAUUUUUUUUUGUUUGAAAUAUGUAAACUUUUUAUAUAUUGGGUAAAUAAUUUACAAGGUGCUUAAUUUACAGACAACAUCCCACAAAUUGGGAGAUCAGACUACAACAAGUAAGAGGUUUAUAUAGAACCGAAUGUUAUACAAGGAAGAGGAAGGGGGUUUAGUAAUUAAAGAGGUUUUAUAUAGGGCCCGAAUGUUAUACAGGGAAGAGGAAGGUGGUUUAGUAAUUAAAAAAGCCUAACAAGGUGGUCGAAAAAUUUUGUUAAAAAGUCUUCAAAACCAUACAGGCCUGAAACCACUAAAGAUGGGAAAAUUACAAAAGGAAUUUAAGAUGGAGAGGGAUGCUUCUGUUGGUAUACUAGCUGAGCUUCUUGCGGGGAUAUAUUGGUGCGUGGUUGUAUCUUAUAAACUUGUGAAUCAAGUGUUAAGACGGGGCCUUGAUGGGCACCACAGAGGUAGUCCCAGUGAGCAAGAGAGGGGUAAAAGGGGAGAGAGUCUGUUGAGUGGUCUGGUCCGAUCUCAAAGCAGCCUUCUUUUGUGGCAACAAGUCAGCAGGGCAAAUAUAGACCCAGUGAGGGAGGGGAGGGAGGGGAGAGAUUGUGGGCUCGUCCUGCGUGGAACAAUCCUCUGCUACAACUUUCUGCGACUCAGAGAUACUCGUAGGGUGUGGGUGGGGGAGAGGGUGAGUAUAGGAUACACUCAAACUAUGGAUGGAAUAAGAGAGAGAAAGAGAGGAUAAGCUGAGGAGGAGGAGGAGAGUUAGAGAACAAAUCCAAGGAGAGAGGUAGGGGAGGGAUGUAAGAUGAGAAAGGGGCUUGUAGAGGAGAAGAAACUAGAUGAAGAGGGAGAGGAGGAGAAGUGUUAGAAAGAAAAAGCCAUGGAGAGGAGAAUUAGAGAAGAAAGCUGUAGAGGGGGCAGAUAUGAGAGAAGAAACAUGAUGAAUAGGGAAGAGAGCUCUGAGACGUAGAGAUAUAGAGAGAUAGAAAGACUUCUGUAAAAAAUCGACAAAUUUGUUCCUUUUUUUUUCCCUUUUUUUUUCCUUUAUUUUUUCCUUUUCUUCUUCCUUUUUUUCUUCCAACCUUCUUUUUUUCCCCUUCCAUAGCUUGGAUGAAAUUGGGGAGGGGGGGGGGAGAGAAAGUUGAAUGAGGGGGGAGAAGAUUAGGAGAGAUAGAGAGGAGAGAGGGAGGGAUAGGUUUCAAGGGAGGACUUGUGGGAGGGUGCUGCAAAUGAAAGAAAUAUGCUCAAACAUUGAAUUGAGCCUCCAGGGGUGAUCCUAUAGCCCAAAGGAUGGUGGUUUUGGAAUUUGAUUCUACAAUAAUCCCCUGAGCAUUGCAACCCAUAAGUGCAACCUUCUUGAGGCCUUAGAGUAGGGCCAAAGCCUCUGCAUAUGUGGAAUCUUUGAAUUUGAAAGUAGCCCUCCAAUAUCAUGGAUUCCUUAUGGAAGAGCCAUCUACAUUUAGUUUUAGAAAACCAAGGGGUGGGGGUGUGACCAGAGAGGCCGAGGUCUACUUGAAGGGGUAGAUAGGUUAAGUAAAUAGUCUCAGUUUGUCAAAAAGUGGAAGAUUGGGAUGUUCGCAAAAAUAGGUGUUGGUUUGACCCAAAGGGAGAUUAUGAUUGAUAGCGUUUCAACAAUAGAUUGCUGGGUUUUUAGUGUGCCUCUAAGAGUUCUUGCAUUUUUCUCUAUCCACAAACUCCAUAGUAGAGUCACAAUAAAUAAAUGACAUAAUUGUUUUCCAUUUUUUGUGAACGGGGGAAAGGGGGGGGGGGGGGGGGGGUUUAAAAAGGAUAGUCAUGGUUGGGGGAGUGACCCAUUGCAGACCAAAUAGAUUAAGGAGGGAUGACCAAAGUCCCAUGGAGAUUCCACAGUGAAUGAAAAGUUGAGGAAUCAUCUCUCUUCUUGGUGACAAAGAAUGCAGCGGUUGGGGACUGAUACGUUGCGACGUUGUAGUUGGUAUAAGGUUAGUGUCCUUCCAUGAAGGAGGACCCAGAUGAAGGCUUGGACUUUAUGGGGGAUAGGGAGCGACCAAGAUUUGUUGUGUUGGGGUUGGAAGUUUAGAUUUGAGAGGAAUGAACUAUAGAAAGAAGAAAUUGUGAAAGAGCUCGAGGAGGUCAAAGACCAUAUUAGGGCAUCUUGUUGAUUCAGUGACCUAAAGAUGGGGUCUAGAAGUUGAAGGAGCGAGGUAAAGGAGUUUGAUUCUUGCUCUGAGAGGUUUCUCUUGAAAAUUGGGGUCCAUUCAAGGUUGGUCCCACUGAACUAUACAUAUUCAGCUAUAAGAGCUGCUUGGUUGCUAGCCAGUAAAUAUAGAGAGGGGAAAGAUAUGUUGAGAGGGGUAUGACUAAUCCAAAGUUAGGCGAAAACUUUAUGCGAUGACCGUUGCCUAGUUUGAGUCUAGCGUGAUUAAGGAAAGCACUCUUGGUGAAGGAGAUGCUUUUCCAUGCACCAGAGGACCUAUGAUGUGGGGAUCUACCCAACCACUCUUCAUUUCCCAUUCUAUGUGUAGUACAAAUGACCUGUUUUCAAUAGACAAGAUGAAAUGAAGAAAGUUUCCGCCACCAUUUACCCAAAGGGUGAGGUUCAUAGUUCUUAAAUUUUUUAUUCCCAAUCCGCCAAAGUUUUUUGGAAUACAAAAUUUUUUCCAUGCUAUUAAGUGGUAUUUUUUGUGACCUACCGUUCCGGACCACAAAAAAUCUCGCAUAAGUUUUUCCAAUUGGAGGAUGACAAAGAUAGGGAUUUGAAAGAGAGAGGGAUUUGGUGUUGCUUAUAUUUUACAAGAGAUGCUUACUUAUAAAUCCGACCAUAUUAGAGCUCGUCAAGAACUACUUGGUAUCACGAUCGUUGGAGGAAAGAGGAUGCUCCAGAAUUUUUUUGAUUGCUCGUUCGAGAACUACGGUCUUUGGCUCUGGAACUAAAGCAUUAAUAGGAAGGAAGCUUGAUUAGAAUGAAUCAGAAUGGAGGGAGGCAACAUGGGGCAAAGCAAAGGGCAAAGCUUCAAUGAUUAGGGCUGUUGAAGAACAAAGAAUCACAUCAAUGAAUAUCGCUGCUCCUCUGGCCCGCCCUAGCAUAGCGGUCCUCGCCAGCACAAGCAGAUUUUCCACUGCUUAUGUUGGUCCCUCUUGUACAUAGGAAAUGAGACUCCAUUUUAUUACUACAAAUCCAUAAAAAAAAGUAGUUUUGUUUCACUCAUAUAACUAUCUGGUUUAGCUCAUCAAUUAGAAUCAUUGAAUCAAUAACGUAGAAUAUAUAUAUAUAUAUAUAUAUAGGAAGAUACUCCAAAAUGCCUAUAGGCGAAAAUGAACAGUGAUUUCGCCUACCCUCAUCAUCGUCCAAAGUUCAUCGCACGAUCAUGAUUGUCCGGUAGUAUUUCACUUUUCAUUUUUUUCUACAAAUCGGAAUGACCUGAAAUUUGGAGCGUGUGUUCAUAAAAAAUAGGCNNNNNNNNNNNNNNNNNNNNNNNNNNNNNNNNNNNNNNNNNNNNNNNNNNNNNNNNNNNNNNNNNNNNNNNNNNNNNNNNNNNNNNNNNNNNNNNNNNNNNNNNNNNNNNNNNNNNNNNNNNNNNUUUCAUGCAACCGGUAUAUAGUAAUAUGAUGCAACAACCCUAAAAAUCCUCUUAUGGCCAUUUGUUUGAUCCAAAAUUUGAAAUAUACACUCUUUUCAUUCUAAUGAGCAAUCACAAAAAAGAGAAAAAAUUGAAAACACAACUUAGAAAGUAUUUUUUAGUCCAAUUAACAUAGGUCGUUCAUUUUGGGAGAUGCUUAGAUCUAGGCCUUAGAAGGAUUUUUUCAUUUCUAACUUCUUUGGAUGGCUUUAUUAUCAUUAGAUGAACAAUUCUACAAAAGGAAAAAAUGAUUUUGAGUUUAUAAAGGCUAAGAUCUUGAAAUUCACAAAAUGAAUGGUCUAGAUUCGUUAUUGGAGGGGACUCAUUUUGACCAUAUUUAGGGUUCAAAUUGAACUUUUUAUUUUGGGGGGAUUGAUUAUUGAGAUGAAGAGAGUGUGUAUGCAAAAUUUGGGGUCAUACAAAUACCACAAACAUGGUUUUCUAGAAGUGUCAUGGCAUUAUACUAUGAUACAUCCGUUGCAUUGGAUCAUUGCUCUAAUAUAUAUAUAUAUAUAUAUAUAUAUAUAUAUAUAUAUUCUUUUUUGUCUUUCCUCUGAUCCUAUACUUUCUUUAUAGAUAGAUGACAUGUAGUAGAUGGGAAUACUAGUGAGUGUGGCUCUAAUUGGGGUGAUUCUACCCCCAAAAGAAAGGAACCGGCCUUUUCAGGAGGCAAACUUCCGAGUAAAUUUUUCUAUCAAGUGAUCCUAGAGGUGCUUUCUGGGUUUUCCUAGACAAAGAGGCAGACCUAGGUAUGAGGAGGGGAGGGUUUCUGUUGAACAGCCUAAGUGAUGGGCUAGAUUCUCUAACUCUGCAUUUUCAACCAGAAUACUUAUCAUUUUGGUUUUGGCUAGUCAAUAGCUUGAAAGUUUUGAGGAAUCUUCAUAGGCAGUCCAAUGGAUUGGCAUUACAAAAGAUAAUGGUAUCAUCUGCAUAGAGAAGAUGUGAAAUUAUAGGGCCAAGUGAGGAAAACCUAAAACCCGACAUGAGACUGCUGUCAUAUAAUCUAGAAAUGGUUCUAGAAAAUGUUCUCCUAUUAGGGUGAAAAGGAAAGGCGAAAGGGGAUCUCCUUGCCCUCUGGCUGCUUGGAAGAAGCCUUCCGGGCUUCCAUUAAGAAGGAUUGCGAAUGAAGCUCGUAUCCACUUUCUUCAGAGCGGCCGAAGCCGAUACAGACUCGAAUAGAGUCUAGUAGUUCCCAGUCCACCAUGUCAUAAGCCUUUUCCUAGUCUAAUUUGAUUAUUAGGCCUUUCUGGCUAGAUAUGAACCGGGUGUGGAUGAGCUGUUAGGGCUCCGUCUAGGAUUUGCCUAUUUGCCACGAAGGCAGAUUGGGCUGGGUAAAUGAUUGAACUAAGAACUUCCUGUAGUCGGGAAGCGAGCACCUUAGCGAGGAUUUUAUAGGAGGAGUUGAGUAGGCUAAUUGGGCAAAAGUCUCGCAUCCUAUUGGUUCCUUCUUGUUUGGGCACUCAAGAUAUGAAAGUGCAAUUUAUGGCUGAGUUUAGCUGCCCUUUAUAAAAGAACUCCUCAAAGAAAGCCAAGAGGUCCAGGGCAGUUGUGUCCCAAAUGUUCUAGAAUAUUGCUACUGGGAAACCAUCUGGUCUUGGAGCCUUGUCUUUGGGGAGGUUAAAAACAGCACUGUGAAUUUCCUCGAUGGAAAAAAGCCUUUAUAAUAUAUCUAAAUCAGCUUUGGAGAUGGAUUGGAAGGUUAAUUCCCCCAGAGUAGGGCGCUUGUUGGUGGGUUUAGAGAAAAGAAUUUUUAAGAACCUAAUGAACAUUUUGCUAAUUUGGGAAGGCUGGGAGAAAGAGUUGGGCCCUACUGAAAUUUGAUUAAUUGCAUUCCCCCUACGUUUGGAGCUGGCUGUCUUAUGGAAGAAAGCAAUGUUUUUUCCCCCUUCUUUGAGCCAAUUGAUUCUAGAACGCUGGAACCAAUAGGUUUCCUCUUGGUUAAGUGUUGGGGGAAGAUUUAGCCUGAAACCUAGAAUCUCUUUCCUGAGGUGUAAGAGGGCGGGUUUCUUCUACAGAAUCUAAAGCUGAGAUUGAUGCCGACAAGGCUAUGAUAGGGUUCCUAAAGUUUGAUGGCAGAUUUUUGCACCAUUGUAAAAAGUGCAUAAUCUCCUUUAAAAGAAAGUAAAAAUGUACGAAGAAGAAAAAGAAGAAGAAGUAGAAAGAAGAAGGCAGGGUUUAGACAGAAACAAUCUUGAGAAUAAAAACACUAACUGCCAUUGAUGUUGAAGAAAUCUUGUCCUCUCUCUUUCUCUCCUCUUUUGUCUCCUUGCACAAACAAGAGGGAGGUGUUGCAAAGACAACAGAUUAAGAAGAAUUUAACCCCCCCUCCCAACCAAAAGAAAAAACAAUGUCCGCCCUAAUCCGACAUUCUGAACUGCAUAAUAUUUAAUAUGUGAGCCGUCCCAACACCAGUAGGUAUUGUGGGCACAUUCAAAAGUGUCUCAUAUGGAAUAUUACUGUCAUAUUAGUGGGCCCAAACGGGUUGUUACCUGGACUCUGGCCUGGGAUCAAGACCUAUUGGAAGGCCAAUAAAAGUUAGGUUUACUCACUUCUAGUCAAAGGGGAUUGGUUCUAAGAAUGUCAUAAAUUGGGCAAAAAGAUCAUCCCCCUGCCUCUAGAUAUUGGAAUAAUUUUUUGUCUAGAUCUUUGAGAUUUGCAGAGGAUUGUCUCUUGGCUAUAGGCAAAUGCAGUUGUGGAUCCUUGCGAAAGACAGUGCCGUUGGGAACAAUUUUGCGAUUAGUAGACCUCUAUCCUAACUAGAAAAUAUUGCAUCCUUUUUUUUUCAUACUGCUGUGCUCUCUCCAUGAAUUUGGACUGAUUCUGUUACACGCAAUCUGUAUGCCUUUUGUAUUUCCCUGAAAUAGUCAAUUUUUUCAAAAAACUAUAAAUAUAUGAGUUGUCUGAUUCUGAUUCAAAAGGGAGAUAUCGGCACAUCAAAAGCUUCAAGUUUCUACAUCAUGAUAUAUAUAAAACAUAUGAUUUCUUUGAAACUAGUAUGCUAAAGUUCUAUUAUUUUUUUUAAAUGAUCUCCUUGGGAAUUUUCCAACUUAUUGAUGAUAGAAAAGAAGCCUCUCAGGGUAAAUGAAGGAUCAUCCACAAACACAAAGUUAUGAAUGCGACCUUUAUUGCUAUAAUCCACAAACAGAGAUGCCAUAAGGCUCAUCAUUAGCACCUAUAAGAUCUUUGGUGAAAGUUUUGGCAACUAGAUUAAUAGAAGUGUUGCAUCAUGCCGUAUCUUCUUGCAAGGGGCAUUUGUGAAAGGCCACCAGAUCCUGGAUGGGCUUUUGACAACCCAUGAAAUGAUAGUCACAAAAACAAAGUGCCAGGUGUCAUAUGCAAGCUAGACACCGACAAAAGAUACGACCUUGUAGACUGAGAAGUGUUGGAUCAAAUAGCGAAAGCUAUAUCGUGUGAUCCAUGGUUUUUCAAGCUUCUCUUGAAGGGCUGGUAAUUUUGCAUCUGCAAAUCUAUGACGAUGCCCUGAUCUUUAUUGAACUAGAGAAAAGGCGAAUACUAAUAUGUGACUGUUUGGUACUUGAAGUUACAUCUAUCUCUAAAUCAAUUCAUUUAAUCUUAAGCUCAUAUAAGUUGAUAUGAGUCUAUAAACGUUGGAGGAGCUAGCUGCUAGGACUGGGUUUGAGGCAAGACAUAUUAAUAAGUAAAUAUUCGGGACUGCCUCUCUAUGUGUACCUAUUAAGUAAAUGGAUGUAGUGGUGGAAUGGCUUAAGAGAAAGUUGACUACUUAUCCUUGGGGGUGUGGAUCAGCCUUAUCAAGGCCACUUUAGCAAAUUUACCAAUUUAUUCUGUCCCCGUGUAAGAAGUUGCAUCUGUAGCCAAAAAAUUGAAAGGUUUCAAAGUGAUUUCUUAUGGGGCGUUCACAAGGUCAACACAAGUUCCAUUUAGUAUGCAGGUGAACAGUGCCUUCCAAUAAACAAGGGGGCUUGAGCAUUAGAAAGAUAAAAGAGCUACGAGGCAUUGCUUUGGAAGCCGUGGUGAUGAGAUGCCUAAAACACCAUCCUUCUAUGGAAAGAGUUGAUUGGCUCACAAAUAUGGAAUGGAGGAGAAUGAGUGGUGGAUAAACAGCGCCAUGCAUCGCCAAAGGAUCUUGGGAGUCUGGCAUGGCAGAAACUCAGUCAGAGAAAAUUUCCUAAGAAUUUUAGCUUGACAUGAAGCACUUGAUUGAUAUCAGGUUUGAGCUACUUGCUAAUGGCUGAAACUGGAAUAUGUAUAUCUUUCUAUCACACACUUAGGAUAUAUAUGAUGUGGUUAACUUAUUGGCAUGCUUUUUCGCAAGUACUUUAUGUCUCUAUUAUACAUUAGACCACCUGAUGGAUUUUUUUGGUGCUUGCUUUCUUGUGGCAUCCUGCCGCAUUGCAUUUCAUGUGGAAUCAUUGAUUCUUAUUGUUUUUCUUCUCUAGAUAUUCACUGAUUGACAAUUAGAGUGAUUAUUAUCUUAACAAGUGAUUCUUAUCUUAACAACUCUAAUUUUUAGAGUGCAUGAUGUAUUCUUUGCUAAUUCGGUGCACCUGUUUUAGUGCAAUUCUCUGCCAUAAAUUUGAAAGCACAAUGUGACCGGGCAAGUCAAUACCGAUUAAUUUUUUUAAUCUUUUCUUAUGUAUUACCAUACAAGUGUCCUAAUACAGAAUAAAAACACAAGAAUACCAAGGACUCUUACUUGCUUGUCAUCAAACGAAAUUACAUUCAUAAAAUGAAUCUAAAAAUUACAUAAAAGUUGCAAUUGAAUCUAGAAAGCAUGAAAUAAGGAAAUACCACAUACCUUGCCUCAAGUGACCCCUAAGGACUUCGUACACCUCACACUGGGUCUCCUCCACCAAUGGCAUAUGGGAUAUAGGUUCAAGUACUUGUUUCACAACUUGGGAAGCCUAGACAAAACCAGCAGAGAGCAUAACAUGGGAUAAUCUCGACCAACGCUCGACACAUAGCAUAAGGCCAAGACCUAUGGCUAAGCUUUGUGGCUCAAGCGUGCCACUCCUUCAGGGUUUUUUUUUCCUUUCCAAACUCUAAUCUUAGAUAGAGAAGAGAGAUUAGAGAGGGGCAUGCCACUCUUUUGGCUCAGAGAGAGAGAGAGAUUAAGAUACGAGGUGUAGAGAAUGAGCCCCCAUAGCUGGUUUAUAUAACAUAAAGGCUAGGGUUUCUAAGGUUAGGGUUUUGAUAUUAUUAUAAGACUUAAUCUUGACUUUUGAUCAUGGAAACCUGUGAGGUGAAGAGAUCUUUUGCAUUCAUUUUUUAGGUCAACCAUCAUGAUUAAAGGAAUGAGGUGGAACCAUUAUCCCUUAGGUUCCAUAACUUUAUUCCCAUCAAAUUUGUAUAGAGAAAUUACUUAACUCUUACACGUUCCCUUUUUGAAAUCAAUUAUAAUCUCUACACAAACUCUUUCCUAAAAUUUUCAAAUCAAUAUGCAUGCUUUUGACACAUGCCUCAAAUAGGAUAGAAAGAAACAAGGAGGUGGGGCAGCACCACCCUAUGGGUGGUCAUUUGGGUGCCAUGCUCCACUAAUUGGUGGGCCUAGUAAAUCCCAAUGGGCCCCCAAUACAUUAAAUAUAUUUUACAGAUAUUAAAGUAAAUUUUAUAAAGCCACUAAGUAUUUGAUUUUCCUCUUUGAUUAAAAUAAAUUUGAAAAAUUGAUUUUUCUUUAUUUAAAAUCAUUUUGCAGUAAAAUAAAAUACCCCGAGAGGUCUAGAAAUUCAUUUUAAUUAUCUGAAAAAUAAUUAAAACAUAUUAAAACAUAUCUAAGAAGAUAUGAUGGGAAUUGGAUCCACAGAGUUAGGAUUACAACAAAUAUAUUGAGGACUCCCUCCUUUCUAGAGAUCGGAUCUCACUGAUACCUUAUCAAACUGGUCCAACAAUUCCUAUGAUCCACUGCCCUUCGCAGGGGUUCAUGAUUGGACUGUCAAAGUCAUCCAAUAAAUGAAGGAGACACGAUCCUAGUCCAUAGAUUACAGGUCUCUCCCUGAGGACAAGUUCAGGCCCCAUUUUAGCACUAUGCUUCAUAGGUCUUUCCAACACAGGCCAAUGUGGCAGGGAGUCAUCUCUUCCGCACAUGUAUACAUCACACACCUUUAACCAAAGGGCCCAUUCCCGGAUGGCUCUUUAGUGUACUUGUCGUGUGAUAAUAAUGAUGAGAUUUUAGGUCCUUGUUUUAUCUGGUCAACUACCAUACACCAGGUUCACAUUUAGUCCCCUGGCGUAUCUGUCCUGGGUGCAACUCCAACGUCAUCAAGGGAUGACUCCACAUCAAAGCCCUUAUCGGUUUUGCUCACACAAUGCUCAGGAUAACGGGUUUUAGACAUCACCUUGAGCCAUAUGCUGUCAAAACUCAGGUGAGUCUCGACAUUAGCAAUGCCUCACCACACUCCCACUGGAGCCAAUAUUUCACUAUAUAAUUUCAAUACGUGCUCUCAUAAGGCCUUUAAAUGACCACAUAACCCCAAAAAAAUUGUGGUGAGAAAUUUUUGCUUUUCAUUCUUCUUGUCAACAUUUGUUUUUAUCUCUCCUUCUCAUCUCAAAACAUUGUUUUGGCAUGUGCUUUAAGAGUCACCUUUGCCAAUGAUGUCAAGACAUCGCCGUCGCUGAGUCCUUAAGACUUUUGGACUUGAGCUCAAUGCCAGUGUGUCAAAACAUGGACUGCCUAAUGCCUAGGCGGUCCAAAAGGCCUGGGCGCAUCGCCCCAGCCUAGGCAGCCAAACUAGGCUGCCAUCAUAAGAACAUGCUCUAACCAUUAGCUCAUACAUUUUCCUGGUAUGGUUGCUGGAAAUUUAUUGAUGUACUAUGAUAUAUGUCAGUGAUUGCAUCUAAGCUUCUUUUAUGUGUGGAAAACUACACUGCUGAUAUGAUGGAGAAGCUGGCAGAGAUUUGAACUGUAUUUCAUUGACAGUUUUUAUUUAUUUAUUUGACCAACUGCUACAAUGAUUAACAGCUAUUUUUCUUGAUAAUGGCAGUUUUCAAUGACUCAAAAGGGACUGAAGUAUCCUUAGAUUCUCUAAAUGAAAGAUCUGAAGCUGACAGACUUGUUGAUAGCAUGGAUUUUGGUGAAUUAUGUAAUGAGUUUGAGUGCAUCAGUAGCCCUGCUGUAGAAUCUACAGCAAGGCAGCUUGCACGAGAUAUUCUGGAGUUACGAGAAGGCAAUCGUUCUCUUGGAACUUUUUCAAUAUCGGUCAAGUACAAGGUUGACAUUUCUUUUGAAAGCUGUGUUGAGAAGCUUUUAGGAUAAGUAUUGCUUGCCAUUGAAUAUUAUUUUGAUAAGUUCCAUGACACAAUGCUGCUAAAUAACUGACAGACCCAGACUUUUCUAUCAACUAGAAAGCUAUGUCAGUUGCGAAAUUAUGUAAAGGAAACUGUAUGUUUUCCUCUUGAGUUGCUGUCUCAAAUAACCUACCGGAACUUGUAUCAUUUUGUUGGUUAUUUGGUUAAUUUCAUUGGUUUUGCACCCUUUGCAAACUCUCAUCUGUUAUUUAGUACUUGGACUGCUAAUGCUUGUUUGUUGUAUUAAUGUGUAUGGAACUCUAUGUUCAUAACGACGUCAUGCUUGCUUUUGGUACUCCAGAAAAACAAAUCUUGAUCGAACCUAUAUUUGCCCAAUGGAUACAAUCCGCUCAUGGUAAGACUUCAUAUGGAUUUGAUGUAUGCUUAUCUUCAACAAACGGCCCAGCAUUCAAUGCUGAUCGAAGCUUAUGGUUUCUUAUUAUAUAUUGUCAGUUUUGAUUUUAUACUUCUCCAUAUUUGACACAUUGUUCAAAAUGUGUUGUUCGAUAUUCACAUAGAUCUUCUGUUGGAUGUGUCAUGUAAAAUGUGCCAGGAUGAAGACAUGAUUAUUGAUUUUGAUGGAGAUGGUGUUGUGGCAAGGUGUCGCUUCUUAUAGAAAUAACGAAAUAACAGGAAAAAUAGGUCGUUUUUGAGGCCACCAUUUGUUCCCUUCCUCUAUUUCUAACUAGAGUCUCCUUAUUAUUAGGAACAAUGCAAUGGAGGGUAUUUUCCCAUGAUUAAAGUUGGGAGGAAGGAUUUCCCUUGCAUUCGGAAAUCAUUUCCCUUUUUACCUUGGGGUUGUUACCUGUUGUCAUAUUGAAAGUAUCAAUUGUAAGGAUGGGUUUGUUUGUGAUCGUGGUCGACAAUUGCUUCCUGUGAAUCGAUGUAAUGAAGGAUAUGACAUUUAUUUGAAAUAAUUUUGAGUUGUUAGAAUGCCUGGAAAUUCAUCUUGGUGUCAUUGUGGAUUGGACGAGUAGAGAAUAUAUCAUGUAUAAUCUUUUGAGGGUUAAUCAUUGAAGCGUUAGUUUUAAGAGAGAGAAUGCCAUGCGCAUGUAAGGUUCUUUCCAAAAAAUGGGAAUGUGUUGAGAAAGGACACCCGUCUUAGGUUGAAAAAGUACUUCAGUUAUACCAUUGGCAGCCAGAGUAUGACAACUCGUGUUAUCUUUCUUUAUUGUUUUACAUGUAAUCUUCUUACAAUGAUACUGUUCUCUUUUUCUCCAUUAGGCAACAUUUUUAAUUUUAAUUAUUUUCAGAGUCAUUAUUUAUUAUUUGUUAUUCUUAUUGUUAUAUACUUUACUGUCCCUUAAUGACUGAGAGUUUAGAAAAUAAUUACAACACAAUAAAGUUUCUUCUCCAAUUAUAUAGCUCAUUUAUUAGUACCUCUGUGUGCUGUGAACGUUUCAUGUAUAGUUGCUUUGAGGUUUCAUCUGGUCAUCUUGGAUAAAAGUUUUUUAUUGGAGGCUACUACAUAAGUCAUCAUUUCCUCAUAAGAAUGUAUUUGCUGCUUAAAUCUAUUGGAAUAAUGUUUUCAACAAUAUAUAAUAUAUUAGGGAUGGAUCCUGGACACUAAGAUGGAUUUCCUGUUAAGUGCUAAGUCAUACAUCAAAACAAACCUAAACUCCUUUUGUUCCCAAAAGAUGAUGGUCUCCUUGAUCCUAUUCGUGAUGACCUCUAACUGAGACUCCUCUUGAAGCUCCGCCUAUUAAGUUCGAUCCUUGUGGUUCAUACUGAGGCGAGGGUGGAGGCUAGGCCCUAAGGAUGGGAAACAUAUGGAAAAUAGGCUGCAAAUAAUUGUUGUAUGGAUCCUGGUGGUACCCAACACCCAUCGAAAAGAUUAAGAAUGAGGACCAGUGACAGAAUCAUGGAGGAACAGAUGGUUUGUUGUUUCCUCACUAGCUUUCAUUAGGUGAAUACCCUCUGCUGAAGAUUGUUAACCAGCCCUUUUGCUUUGACAAGGCAGCUAAAUAUGUGGACCUUCAGAGGGGCAGGAGCGAACCAAGCUCUUGUUAGCCAGAUAAAAGGCCUCUGUUGGGUUUAUGUGGCCAUUAAAGGCCUUACGAGAGCUUGUGUAAGCAUUUUAUGUACUGACACAUAAACUCAGUGAAAGUGUGGUCCUUGUGUGGACCAUACUGGGCAAAUGCUAUUUGCCGAUACUCGGACUGGGCUCGACAUGCUAGCCCAGCCGAGUUUGAAAAACCCAAGAUACGUGGGCAUAGGGAUAUACUGAGAAGGGUUUAGUGGGUUAGCCCUUGAUGAGGUCGGAGUAUGUCCAGAUGAGAGUCGAGGGACUGUGUAGUCCUUGCGUGUGAUGAAUAGCUUUAAGAGAUAGGCUUAAAACCUCAUCGUUAUAUCAUCACACGACAUGUAUAUAAAUAACCGUAUUGAGAUUCACCAAUGAGGGUGAACGUGUACAUGUGCGAGAGAUUAUCCUUUUGUACCAUAGAGUCUGAAAAGACAAAAUUUAUUCUUGGGAAUAAAAAGACACGAUAAGUAAAUAAGUAAGAAACAAAAGAAAGCGUCGGAGAUUACCUCAACCGGGCUUCUUACACCUCACACCGAGUCAGGGUGACUUGUGGGGUGAGAGAUAUGAACCCUCCGUUCCAUAGAUAGACUAUCAAGAUCACAUGAAAGGUGCUAGAACUAUUAUCCCCCAUUUGUUAAACCAUUUUCUCAUCAAUUAAUUUAAAUAAAAAAAUGAUAUAUGAUAAUAUUGUACUUUCUUAUUUUAUGUACAAACCUUCUCACACAUACCAAAAUUUGAUUCAAAGUUUCCUCAAAGCACAAGCUUUCCAUAGCACAAUAUUUCUUUUCCCUCAAGCCAUGAGCGUGAUCGCACAAAAUAGAAGGCUCCUCAAGGUGGGGCGUACCACCUUAGGUGGAACCCUAUGGUCCCCAACCAAUUGACAUGGUGGGCCAAUUUAUCUUAUUGGGCUUCCCAUGCAAUAUAAAAAUAUUAAAAAUAAUAUAUGAUUUUUAGAAAUUCAUAAAAUCAUAUUUGAAUAAUUAUAUCAAUGUAAAAUCAACAUCUCUAUUUUUACAAAUCCAAAUUUGAUAAAUAAAAUAUUCAGAGAUUUAGAAAAAUUCAAAUAACAAUUCUAAAAAAUCAUAUAAUGUCAAAUCUAUCAUAAUUAAAUACUUUGAUGGGAAAAUGAUUCAUAUGGUCUCGGAACAGAUAAAUAUACACUAGGGCACUCUUACCUUCUACUGUGGACCACAGUCCCCACUUGCUUUCUUAAACCGACCCAAUGUUUUCCAUGACCCACAGUCCAUGCAGGGGCUCAUUAGUGGGUCAUCAAAGUCAAGCUAAUGGGCAAGGGGUCGUAGUCUUAGUCUAUGGAUUUCAGGUUCUCCCCUAGAGACGAAACUAAGGUCACCUAGACCUGAUGCAAUCCAUUGCUCUAUGGUGCAUAGGGGUUAGCUCUCGCACAUGCACAAGCUUCACCCUGAAAUGUGGUUUGCUUUCUCGAAAACGGCUAUCAUAUGUGCGUGCCGUUUGAUGGUACUCGGAUGAGGCUUUGACCCCAUCUCUAAAGGCCUCGACCACACACAAGCUUCACCUUGAAAGGUAGUUCGCUUUCUCGAAAACAGCUAUCAUAUGUGCAUGCCAUGUGAUGGUAUGGAGAUGAUGAGGCCUUGACCCCGUCUCUGAAGGCCUCCAUCACACACAUGCGCCACAUAGUCCAUCAGCUCACUCUUUCGGGCAUACUCUGACGUCAUCAAGGGAUGGCCCUUUAUAAACCUUAUCGGUAUAUUCUCUAUGCCUGGAUAACAUGGGUUUUUUCAAACCAAACUUACCUAGCUCUUAAACCCUUAUAACUCGUUUGCUUAGUAUGGUCCACACAUGACCACACUCCCAUUGAGUUCAUGUUCCAUUAUAUCAAUAAGUUCAUUUACAAGCACUCAUAAGGCUUUUAAUAGCCAUACACAUCCAACAGAGUCCUAGUUGCAUUAUGGUCUGAAGGACCAUGAUAUUUUUUACCUUUAAGGUAGAACCUGAAAUCAGUAUACUGGGAUUGCAUCCCCUAGUCUAUUGGUUUACUUUGGUGGUCCGAUCAUGAGUCUUUACAAUGGACUAUGGGUCAUGGGAACUGCUGAGUUAGUUUGAGAGAGCUAGGUGGAUCGUGGUCUGCAGUUGAAGGUGGAGUGCUCCCAUAUAUUGAUAAAUUCUUGGAUCUAACGGAUCCAAUUCCCAUCAAAAUUAAUUAAUUUUAAUUAACUUUAUGUUAUAUGAUUUUCAGAAUGUUUAUUUGAAUUUUUGUGAAUUUUAUGAUAUUUUAUUUUUGCCAUUUGGAUUUAUAAUUAAGAGAAAUUAUUUUUUCAAUGUUUUAAAUAAAAUAUGAGAUUUAAAAUUCUAAAUUUAAAAUAAAAUAUUUUUUAAAAUUAUGUGAGACCCUCCAUAAAUAUGAGGGCCUAAUUUAGAACAUGUGAGAAUUUGGUGGGGCCCAUGUGUGGCCACCAAAGGGUGGCACGCCCCACCCAUAGGGACUAACUUGAUCACCAAGCUAGGUGAUAGUUAUCCCCUUGUUGGUUGGCAUUUCUUUUUGGAUAUAGCCAACGUACAUGAUAGAUUCAAAUAUUUAAAAUAUUUAAUAAAUCUUGUGAAUCAAUUUACAUGAUUCAAGAAAUAAUGAAUGGAUAUAUUAUAAUAAAAGUAAGAGAUAUACUUUCUUUAUUUAAAGAUUUGAUGAUAAUAGAUUUACGAAAUGGAAGAUAAGGCUCUAGCACAUCCCUUUGAAUCUUGAUGGUGAUUCAAAGGGAUGGAUGACUCACAUCUCUCAACCCACAAGUCUCCCUAGAUCGACCGUAAAGAUUUAAUCCUACGGAUUAUAGCAAACCCUAAGGCAUAGAAAAUCUAUAAAAGGAGGCUUUCCCACCUCAUAAAUCUCUAAACCAAUUCUCUUUCUCUCUUUAAGAUUUAUCUCUCUCUCCCAAUUCUCAAGAGGGGCCAUGCCCCAACCUAGAUAGAUCAUAUCUCUCUCCAAGUUUCUAAGGGGGGCACGCCUAACCAAGAUCUCUCUCUCUCUCUUCAAUUCUCUAAAGGAGGCACACCCAAGCCAUCUCUCCAUCUCUUGUGAGUUCUAGGUGUCACGCGUAAGGCUAGAGUUGGUGGUUUUGAUAGUAGGUAGCAGAGGGGAGGAUCUCCUUGCUAGUAGAUCUCUCCCAGUCUCUUUGAUUUCUAUCUCUCAUUUCUCUAAAGAUCAAGCCAAGAGGGCUUGAGCAAGACUAAGGCAUUGAGGGUUUAGGUAGUUGGUUUUAGAUCGAGAUCCAUAUGUCAUUGAGAGGGUUUUUCCAUAAGUGGGAGACUGAAGAGACUGAUCAUAAAUCCCAAGCAUCAUCGGAAGGAGUAGAUUCGGCGUGGGAUGUACUAAGCCAGGUUGAGGUAACCUCCAGCAAUUUUACUUCUUUAAAUUUUAUUUUCUUGAUGAGCUCUUCUAUUCCCAUAAAGCAAUGAAUUUAAGGUUUUGAUCUAUAGAAUUAUAUUCAAUAGUGGUAGCAAGUGAGAACCGUGUUUCUUUUCUUUUAUUUAUUUGUUUCAAGAGUUAUUUGUUUGUAAUUGGACAUUGUGAGUGGUCUUGUCGGUGUAAGAAUAAGAAAAAUAAAGAAAAUUUUAAUUCAUAUACACUGUGCUUGAUCAUAUAGUCCAACUUUCACCCUCACUGUCAGGCAGCAGAACAAUUGGAAAAAGAUUCCAUUGAUAAGGAACCAAAGGGAACUGCUUCCCACACCAUUUUGUCCCUACCACUUUGUGGAAUGAACUGAGAGUUGAGAAGGAGCAACAAAGCCUCCCAAGUCUGGUAUCUCUGUGUCAAUGAGUUUCCUCCUAGUCCUAGGCGAUCAAACCAAGUGGCCACCCAAGGAUUUAUAUGAGUGAGAAACAAUCAUCUCUUGUCCACCUCUAGAAGAAAACAAUUUGGGAAAAGCACUUCCAUAGUAGAAUUUCCCAGCCAACUCUCCUUCUACAGCCUAAUUUGGUUCCCUUUUUUACCGAGAAUAUCACCUGGCUCAUGAAUGGCGAGUGGGAGGAAGUAUCCCUUUGCAACCCUAGAGGCCUGAGCUUUACCCAUGUCAUCAAGCCCAUACCAAUGGCAGGUGGCCUGCUGCCACAAGUGUCCUCGUGUGGCAAACUCCACCACCACUUUUCCCUAGAGGGCAGUGUUUGUCUUUUAGCUUCUUAAUACGCAGUCCUUAAGCCCUUUUGGACUUGCAAAGUGUCCCAAGUUGCAAGAUGGAAUUUGUUAAAUCCAACCAUCCCCAACCACCGAGUCUCCUGUCAGGGGUGCCUAUUGUUGAUGGUCAUUGGCAACCUGAAAAGCAACAUCUGAUGUACUUGGAUUUUUGGAAGGGUGUCUUUUAUCAAAGUUGAUCUUUCCCCCCUUAAGAGAGAAACCUUGCUGCCAAUCUGCAUUCAACCCUUUUCACAACCUCAACCCCUUGGUCCUUUCUUGGUCUGCCGAGGCAGAGGGAGACCCAGAUGGGGAAAGGGGGUAAAGUUCUCAUUACUCUUUUAAUAAUGACAAAUUAUUAAGGUCUAAACUGGGUAAAUAAGGGUGUCAACGAGCCUAGCCAAGCCAUAUGUGAGCAUGUUCAAGUUCAGGUUGCAUGGGUGAGAACUAGCUUGAGCUUGGGUUGAGCUCAACUGAGCUUGAACUUGGCUUGGCGUCUUAUUUAAAGUAGCUUGUAAACUAACUGAGAUAAGCCGCAAACAAGCUGAGAACAAACUCAUAGGCACAGCAAUAGACAAUAUAAUCUUUAUGUUAUAACUUAUGAAUAAAACAUCUUGAGUUUCCUAUUCAAGGUGAGGUCAAUAUAAUAUAAUAUAGUUCAAUAUCAUCUAAUAUGAUAUGAUCUAAUAUAAUAUGCAUCAUUUUUUCUGUGGUAUGUGUAUUAUGUAUUAAACUAGGUCAAGCCGAGCUAUUUACAGGGAAGGAUGGGGAUAUACUCACAAAAAUUUACAUCUAAAUUGGAAAAAUAUUGCUUGUACCCUCAAGAGAAAAAUAUGUCAUACUGUCAUAGCUAGAAUUGGAUCCCACCUCCCCCUAUUGAUAUCAAAUUACAUUUUGUUGGCAGCUGGAGGGGCAAUCUAGGUCCAGCUGGUAUGGAUGUACUUUCCGUAGUCACCAGGGGGAUAGCUUGUGUUUGUAUUCUGGCCUGGCAGAUACUUGCACGCUAAUGAAGCUGGGGCCAAGUACCUAUUACUCAAUGUGUAGAUCUGAGUGGGGACUUCUUAUUGUGCAAGGGGAUUCGGUUAAUUCUAUAAGAUAGACCCAAACCCCUUAGAGUGCCGAUGGGGACUCCAAGAAACCUUGAGGUUGAAGAUAUCUUACAAGGCUUAAAUGUUAUCUUCAACACUCUGAAUGCGAACUUGAGGAGGUCACAGAUAACCUAGCCAAAGAAACAGUUGCACCUUGUUCAUGGCUACAGCUAUCUAGUGUUAAGUUUUUCCUGGCUUUGUAUACACAAUUUUGUCCAGAGUCCAUAUGACAUCAAUUUGUAAGUUUAUAUCACCAAUACAAUACAAGAUCAUUAAUUAUCAAAAAAAAAGAAAAGGGGGGAAGAAACAGAAAACACAAUGCAUGUUCAAGCCAAGCUUGAGCUUGGCUUAUUCAAUAAUCAAGCUAGUGAAACUCAGCAUGGCUUGGGUUGUCAAGCAGAAACAUAAUGCUCAAGCUUGGCAGCUCGUGAGCUGAGCUGAGCCAGCUUGUGAGCUGAGCUGAGCCAGCUUGUGAGCUGGCUUCGCAUGUUGAUAGCCCUAUGGUAAAUGAUUGAAAAGGUACUAUGCAGUCAAUUUUGUUAGCUAGAUAAACAAAGAAAAUUUUAAUUUGGGACUAUGUGAAGCAUCUUUCAUAUAUCUGGCCUUCUUCUUGCUUCUAUAUUUGUCAUUAUUUUGCGUCAUAGCUUGUCUACUUGUCUAUAAUGUUGAAUAUUCUUGUCAUAUCUAGCACAGGAUCCAGUUAGAUCUUUUACUGGUCAGGAGAAGUAUAAGAGACCUUUGUGGGCAACUGGAGCUUUGGAUAAACCUUCUGUGGUGAGUAAUUGGUACACAACAUGUUGACUUAGUAUAUUUAUGUGCUUUGAAACUUGUCCCUUUUGCAUGUGAACUUGCACAUUUCAUGAGUCACCAAACUCCUUGUGCUUUUGGAUAUAAUUUAGCUUCUGUAAAGUAUGAUUUUCAGCCAAAUUUGUUUCCUGUACGAGAGCUUACUUUAUGCAUGUUAUGUUAUAUUUUGAAAUGGAUGUAUGUUAUAUUUUGAGAUGGAUGGGUGUUAAGGGAUGCUAUAUGAGGAGGGAAAAAUUUUCAGCAGUGAAUGUUUGAGAUUGUCCAAUGAAAACAUUUAUAUAUUUUAAUUUGAAAUGACCAUUUAUAUUGUCCUUUGGAAGAAUGUUGCGUAUUUCAAGUGCUUUGAGAUCACACUACCUCCUCACCUUUUAUUUUAGUCAUCCAUUUGAUAAGACAAUUACUGUGUUGCUUGUGGUCAAUGACUCAAAAGAUAAGAUUGUUUGUAGGUACACACUCAAGGUUUUGAUGUUAAUGUGCUUGUACAUACGCAUACGUGCAGAAACAAUGAUCGCACGUUUCUAUAUUGCUACUUGUAUGUAACAUACUGCUUUUUUUAUGUAUUUUGGCUAAAGAAACUUAAGAUUGUCCUAUGCAAAUCUUUAUUUUUUUGUGGGCCAUUCCUUAUGACUUGUAACAAAUAUAGUGGUCCAUUAAAUUUUUCUGGUAAUAGCCUCAGGCAGGCAUUGGUAUUAUAUUUAGUAUUAUGUCUAUUAAUCUUUAGCGUAUUCUAUCCAGUCAUUCAUAUCUCAUCAUAUUUAUGGUAUUGGGAUUGUGUGAGUUUGUGCAUGAUCCUGCUGAUCACAGAAUCCUAUAUACAUUGUAUCUUAAAAGGUCAUCAAAAGAACUAUUUGAAAAGGAUCUCUUCUAUCCUUCUUUGGACUUAAAACUUCACCUAAAACAUGUUCAUGAAUUGGCUACCUGUUGGCUGUUGUCAUAUGAUAUACUUCAUCUCCACUGUGGAUAAUUUAAUUUUUAUGGAGAAUUAAGAUAAAAACAUUGUUUUAUGAUACAAUUGAGAAGAAGCAAAUAGACAUGUGACAAAAGUAUGCUUUCGUCUUGUGAAAUUCCACGGAAUAGGUAUGAGAAUUCCGUGGAAGUAGAAUAUCCCCAUUUUUGUUCCACUGUGCUUGAAACUUCAGAAAGUAUUCAUAUCUCUUUAAAACAUUCACUGAAGUUGUCUACAAGCCCAUAAAUAUCCCCAUUUUUGCAUUCAUAUCUCUUUAAAACAUCCACUGAAGUUGUCUACAAGCCCAUAAAUAUCCCCAUUCUUGCUCCACUGUGCUUGAAAGUUCAGAAAGUAUUCAUAUCUUUUUAAAACAUCUGCUGAAGUUGUCUACAAGCCCAUAAAGUUUGCAAAUUUUACUAGUAUAGGAAUUGCGAGUAUGCCAUACAACUUAUAGUUAUCUAUAAUGGAUAAUUGUUGCAUGUAUAAUGCAGUAAUUUUUCCAUGCCUGAUAAUUUGAUUAAUUUGGGUUGACAUACUUUAUAUCUAUGUAACCCAUUGCAUACUCUAUCUAUGUAACCCAUUGCAUACUCUUCUCACAGUACAAACGAAGUACGCAUAAUAAUUUACAUAACCACAAUAUUUUAUCAUUGAUUACAUAAACCUUAAUGUCAUGGAAGCAUAAACAUAUAUUGGCUGGUCAAGGGAAGUAAUAAUCUGUUGGAACUGGAGAUUUUGUUUAUAAUUGAAAUAGUUAUCUUGCCCCUGUUAUUCAUUCCUGUAAAUCCAGAACUUGCUUUGACUUUUCUUUUUAAUUUGAUUGCUGUUAUUGUACUUGUAUUUCUCCCCCCCUGUUUUUUUGGGAGGGUUAUGUUCUGACUUGGUCAAAUCGAUGAUACAAAUCCAGUGUUGUCUUAGACAGUGCAGGAGAUGGUGAUGCUCUCAACCAGUGUGCUGAACAUCAAAUGGACAAUCAGAGGAAAGCCUAAGUUCUUUGUUUCGAGUUUUGGGGGUGAUUUGAUUCUUUCUGUUAGUUCUGUGUUUACCUUAAAUCAGAUAAGUGGUCAAGUACUUCAACAUGAGGAGGUUUGGGAUCUCUCUGCAUCAUCUGCAAUAGCUCACAUGUACUUCUGGAUUUCCCGACGUCUACAUGCCACAAUUGAAUCUGGGAAAGAUGUUGUGGAAACUGUUUCAGAUAUCACAAGCCGGUUUACUAAAGAAAAAGAGAACUUGGAUGUAUAUCCAGAUCCUUCCGGUGAUCCAACAAAGGUAAGGCACGCUUCAGGUUAGUUUUGAUGUGGAAGAAGUGAAAUCUCUAAAAAUUGCUCGCUAUUUUUCAAUGCCUACAAUGAAUGAUAUUGAAUAAUUUUUCAAUGUUUCUUCUUUUGCCCAAAAGCCCUGGGUAGGGCUUGAUUGGCACCAUAUAGCCAUUUUUGUUCUCUGAACCAAGGCUUUAAGUUAUAUUUCAUGUGCCCGUAUCAUCAUCAUCAGUUUAGCUUUUUCCCAAUUAAUUGGGGUCGGCUACAUGAAUCCUGGUUCAACAUUCUGCUCUAUUAAAGGCCAUAUCCUCAGUGAUAUCAUAAGUACCCAUAUAUUUUCAGACUACUUCCAACCCCAUCCUUUUGGGCCUGCCUCUUGCCCGUUUCAGUCUUUCCUGUACUUGGUCGGCGCCACACAUGGCCAGCCCACCUAAGUCUACUGUCUCAUUUUAUUGUCUAUUGGUGUCACGCCUAAAUUCUCUCAAAUAGAUUCAUUUCGAAUUCUGUCCCUUCUUGUCUUGCCACUAAUGCAUCUCAACAUCCUCAUCUCUACUACACUUAUUCUAUGAGCAUUGUUUUUCGUUCGCCCAACAUUCCGCCUCAUAGAGCAAAGCUGGUGUCACCAUUGUCCUAUAGAACUUUCCCUUCAGCCUCAUUGGUAUGUGGCGAUCACAUAAAAUUCCAAUUGCACAUUUCCACUUCGCCCACCCAGCUCUAAUUCUGUGUGCGACAUUUUCCUCGAUCUCACCAUUUUUUUGGAUUAUCGACCCAAGAUAUCGAAAGUGCGGUCUUUUUUUACUUCCUGACCAUCAAUCUUAACUACUUCCUUGUCUCUACACCUAUUAUUACUAAACUUGCACUCCAUAUAUUUUGUCUUAGUCUGAAUAAUUUUAAAACCUUUGGAUUCUAGAGCAUUCCUCUAAAGUUCUAACUUUGUGUGGACGCCGUUUUGGAUCUCGUCAAUCAAAACUAUGUCAUCUGCGAACAACAUGCACCAUGGUACCUCAUCCUGUAGGUGCCUAGUUAAGUCGUCCAUAACUAAGACAAAGAGGUAGGGUUCAAUGCUGACUCUUUAUGUAGGCCUAUUGUCGCUGAAAACUCACUCGUCUCUUCCCUAGUUUGUAGCCUAGCUAGCGCUCCAUCGUACAUAUCUUUCACUAAGUCAAAUGUAUUGUCUAGAGACGUCUUUCUUUUCCAACACUUGUCAAAUCAAAUCUCGAGGUACUCUAUCAUAAGCUUUCUCUAGACCAAUAAAGACCAUGUGGAGGUCUUUUCUCUUGGCCCUAAACUUCUCAAUCAGUUGCCUAAGUAGGAAAAUAGCCUCAGUUGUUGACCUUCCUGACAUAAAACCAAAUUGAUUUUCAGAUACACUUGUUUCAUGCUUUAGUCGUUGCUCAGUGACUCUCCCUGAGCUUCAUAGUAUGGUUCAUAAGCUUAUCCCUCGAUAGUUUGCACAAUUUUAUAUGUUUCCUUUGUUUUUGUAGAUAGGUACCACAAUACUUUUCCUCCAUUUGUCUGGCAUUUUCUUUAUUCUCAACACCUCGUUGAACAACUUCGUCACUCAGUCAAUGCCAAUUUCCCCCAUGUAUUUUCAAACAUCUAUUGGGAUACCAUUUAGUCCCAAAGCCUUUCCUAUCUUCAUAAUUUUUAAAGCUUCUUUCACUUCCAACAUCCUAAUCCUACGCAUGUAUCUAUGGCCUCCGUUUUCACUUGUAUGUACGGUCCCUUCUACCACUAUGUUUCCAUUGUGUUCGUCAUUUAAUAAUUUUUGAAAAUAGACUCUCCACCUUUCAUGAGGCCCAUAUGAGAGGAAUUAUUUGCAAUUCUAGGAUAUGAUUAAAUAUUACUAACCACAAUUGUCUCCAAACAGAGUUGGCAAGAGAAUUUUUUUAAUAGGUUCUAGAGGGUGAGGAUAUGGAUCUUGGGACCUAUCUGGGCCUCUUUCUUCCUGAAUUUGUUUUAUUUAUUUCCUUUCAGAUUUUGAUGGAUUAUUCCAUUGCAUUUUGCAUUUGUGACAUAAAACUACAUAAAGUUCCAUGAAUUUGCCUCUUAGGAUCUAUUAUAAGCAUAAAUGAAUAGGUUAUGUCAAGCUAGACUUGUUACUUGAAAGCAUGUAUUACUUGACUUUCGCGUGUUCUGAAAAUUUAUAUUUAUUUUUUUCGUUUUGAUCAGUACUUCCAAACGGAUGAUAAUUUCCAAAGAGAUGCCUACCAGAUUGCACUUUUCUUGGCUGUGAUCUACUUUAUUGUACAGUUUCUGAGGCUAACUCUGUGAAUGAAAGGAACUUCGCAUUCUUUCUUGUAAUUAUGUUGUAUACAAUGAUGUAAUGGUAUGCACUUUAUCUUCUCGUCUGAAUGGGAUUCUUUGCCUUUUGCCUUGUGAAUAUGUUGAAUAUUUGGUUGUUUUUUUUUUUUUGUUUUUUCUGAUGCAUGUUAAGGCAAGGGCAAUUCGUCCUUUUGAGAGAAACAGGUCACAUUUCCCCGUCCUUUCUGUCAUGGCUAUUGCUUUCUUGUUACAAUGGUUGUUGCCAUCAUAUUUGGUGAUUCAAUUUUGCACAGCGGGAUCUAUUUGGUUGUUUCCAGAUGCAUCAUAAAAUACUCUGACAUUUACUUUUAUGUCCAGUUUUCUCUGGCGUAAAAAAGUCUGCUUGCUUUUGGUUUUAGGAAGAACUGUUUUGUAUUGCAUGGGCAAAAACACUUCCUCCCAUUGACUGAAUCACGUUAGUGUUUAUUUUGUGCCAAUCAUUGUUAUACAAGUUGUGUCGGAUUUGCGGUAGCAUGAUGAUUUUUCUAGUGUAAACUUCAAGGUGAUGCAACAUGGUGACCUGUUAAUUUUUCAGGGUUGCUUUCUAAGAACAAGUUUGAGAAACUAACGAUCACUAUUUUAUUUGAUUCUUAGAUCACAACCUAAUACAAUCCUCAACUCCUCAGGCUUAUUAAUUCCUUGUAAAUAUUCUCUCAACACACACCUUGAAAACAAAACGGAGACCUAAAUGCAAAAGUAUGGACGUACUCUAGAAUAUUCACUCAUCAUUAUUCAAGAGUUUCUAGAAACUUCUAUGGAGAGACAAUUUUACAUGUUCUUAGAGAACAAAGUUUUGAAUGAAUGGUCUUGAAUUUCCUGCUCGACUUUCUCGCACCUUACUCUUUCUCAUCUUCUCAACUAUCAGUUGAUAUGGGCCCUUAUUGAGUACUGCUGAAUUCAGAUCUAUUCUUCCUUGUGGGCUAUGCUGCCCAUGAAACAAGUAGGGCUGGCAAGACCCGGACCCAACCCGAGAACCGUCGGGCAGAUCUGACUUGGGUCCGGGUAUGGCUCCAAAACUUGGACCCAACAGGUCAGGUCCGAGUCCUUUCUAACUGACCAGAAACAUGUCCUGGUCGAGUACGAGUCCCAAUGGACCUGACCAGGAUUUCUUACAUAUUAAUUAAUAUAUUAAUUUUAUAUUUAAGAUUAAGUUAAGGGAAAAGUUUAUAUAGAACCGAGGCUCUAAACAAUUAAAUUGGAGCCUACCUCAAACAUUUCAUUAGAAGAGAUUGUUUUGAUGUCCAAAUAUCUUCAAAUUCAUCAUCUCGACAUUAAGAUGUAUGGAUAUGAGAAAAAAAUGGAUUUAAAGUUUUGAAAAUAAUGUAUUUUGUAAUGCAUUUUUGGACCAUCAAUUUUCAAGUUUUUAUAGAUAUGUCAAUCCAAACUNNNNNNNNNNNNNNNNNNNNNNNNNNNNNNNNNNNNNNNNNNNNNNNNNNNNNNNNNNNNNNNNNNNNNNNNNNNNNNNNNNNNNNNNNNNNNNNNNNNNNNNNNNNNNNNNNNNNNNNNNNNNNNNNNNNNNNNNNNNNNNNNNNNNNNNNNNNNNNNNNNNNNNNNNNNNNNNNNNNNNNNNNNNNNNNNNNNNNNNNNNNNNNNNNNNNNNNNNNNNNNNNNNNNNNNNNNNNNNNNNNNNNNNNNNNNNNNNNNNNNNNNNNNNNNNNNNNNNNNNNNNNNNNNNNNNNNNNNNNNNNNNNNNNNNNNNNNNNNNNNNNNNNNNNNNNNNNNNNNNNNNNNNNNNNNNNNNNNNNNNNNNNNNNNNNNNNNNNNNNNNNNNNNNNNNNNNNNNNNNNNNNNNNNNNNNNNNNNNNNNNNNNNNNNNNNNNNNNNNNNNNNNNNNNNNNNNNNNNNNNNNNNNNNNNNNNNNNNNNNNNNNNNNNNNNNNNNNNNNNNNNNNNNNNNNNNNNNNNNNNNNNNNNNNNNNNNNNNNNNNNNNNNNNNNNNNNNNNNNNNNNNNNNNNNNNNNNNNNNNNNNNNNNNNNNNNNNNNNNNNNNNNNNNNNNNNNNNNNNNNNNNNNNNCUCUAUUUGAAGGUACGCUCUAUACAAAUCACACAGUUAAUCAUCUAUCAAUACCUUAUUAUUAAUUUUAAGAAGUCAUCAAUUAAAUUAAAUUUGACUAGUAAACUAAAAUCAUGAUUAACGAAUUAAACCCUACCCAAUACCAUUUACCCUAACCCAAACUUGAAACCCUAAAUCCCUUUCUUCGUUUAAUUUCACGACCAAACAGAAACCCUAGCCCUUGCUCUAGCUCUCUCUAAGCUCUUUUUUUUUUUUGACAAUGUUAUAAAUUUUUUUUUCUCAAAAGUGGAUUACAAUAGAAUUAAGAGAAAAGAACUUCCCGAGGUCAGAAGAGAAUGCAAUGCGACUCUUCUUUUUGCAUAAGAAUCUGCCAUCUCAUUGGCCUCCAUGUAGACAGUUUUGUAGGUUACACGAAGGUCAUUUCGGAUCUCCAUCAAAGCUAACCAUAACAAUCUAAGCCUCCAAGGAGGCCUUGAAAUGUUAUUACACCAAUUAAUAACACUCAAAUAAUUCCUCUCAAUAACACACGGCUGCUCAAAUCCCCUAUCCUUUAGUAUUUUCAAUCCUUACGAAGCUACUAAGAUUUCCACUUCAUUUGUUGUCUUUUCACCACAAGGCCCAACAAAACAUAUGAUAAUUACCCUUUUAGAAUCUCUCGCUACACCUCCCGUGCCAACCGAACCCAGAUUCCCCAAUGAAUUGCCAUCAAAGUUCAAUUUCAAACUACCCUCUUCUGGAGCUUCCCAAUGCCUUUUUGGUCUCAUUUUGAUUACUUUAUGCAAUAUAAGAUUUUGCAAAUUCACUUAUAAGAUUUUGGAAAUUCACUUCCACAUCGACUUUGUAAACACCAAACCCCUCCUUUGUGGUUGAAAACCUACUCCAUAAGGUGUGCAUGAUCAUCCUCUUAAUCAUAGAACUCUCCAAUGCCAUUCCUUAAAAAACUUGCCUAUUUCUUUCAAGCCAAACUUCUCACAAAAUUGCUACCCUCCCAAUCCGAAAAAUUUAAUCCCCCAACUUUUGGUAACCCAUGGAAUGUCAAAAAUUCUAUAAUUUGAGUAUGAUGUUGAAGCAAAGAGCUUACAAUUCUGAAUCAUCUAAAUAGCGAGCACCAUAGUUUGAAUGCAAGCGAACAAUGAAGGAACAUGUGAUCUUCAGUCUCAUUACUAUCCUUACAAAAGAUUCACACAUUUGUAAUGGUUCUCCCACUUUCUUUAAGGUUAUCUAUAGUCAAAGUCUUGAAAGAGUAUCCACAAGAACACCUUAACCUUCUGAGGAAUACUCCAUGAUUAGAUCCUCCUUAAGGAGGUUCUGUUCCAUCUAAUUUUGUCAUGAUACAACAGGCUAUAAGCCGAUCUUAUGGAUAAACAACCAUCACAUUCAGCCUCCCACACCAUCUCGUCAUCAACAAUAUGGAAGAGUCUCACUCCUUCUACUUGUUCAAGUAAUGCUGGAAGUCAUCAUUCUUACUUGAUAGUUGUUAAAUCAGAUGGCUUGGGGUGGGUCACGAAGUCUAAGAAUUUCUUUUUGGAAAUUUGUGCAUAUUCUAUGUUACUAUUACUACUACCCAUUUUGAAAUUUAAUAGACGAAUGAUUAUGACUUCUAUGUACAAAAGAUAAUUCAUAUCUUUGUAGACAAUCUUUAAUUUAUAGCAAACAGCCUUCCCAGGCAGUGUAAAUCCCAUCGACCUAAUCUUUGAGCAAACAUCACCUGCGAUAAACAAGGGAGGUUAAGAUGACAUACAAUAACAUUAUGAGAAGAACUGUAAUAAGCUUGAAACUCCUGAAUCCUAUGCGGACAGGUGUAGAAAUAGGGUUUAGGAACACGCAUGCUUUUUUAUUUUUUUAUUUUUAUUUUUUUUCCCUCCAAGGAAGAGCAACCCAAUGAUAAUAAGGGCCAGUAAAUGUGUUUCUUGAUAUCAUACAAGAAUAGAAAAAAGGGCUUGGGGAAUUAGCAACGCAUUGCCAAUCAUCCAUAUUACUUUCCAAUGGGACAUUGUUUUCGGAACAGUUCUUUAAAAAAGUAGACCACUUAGAGAUGAAGGAUGCAUAGAGUAAUUGUGGCACCUGAUUGCCAAGGCAUUCUAACUGUGCAAGAACCAGUGAUCCACAUCUCAAACCAACUCAAUGGGACCCAUGACCUAUAGUCAUGCGCAUGACUCAUGAUUGGCCCGUCAAAGCUGGCUAAGUAAACUUGUAGUUGUAGGACGUGAAUUACAGGAUCUCCCCUAAGAGUAAGUCGCAUGCACAUAUCACUAUAGUGCAAGGGAAUUCUCUCUAUGUACAUGUACACGUAUCCCGCUAUAGGGUUUCUUUCCAGAAUGCGGCUGUCAUACAUAUAGAUAAUUUUUGCCGAACUUCCAAAUAGAAUUAUUAACAUGACUAAACACUUAUUCCAAGCAUGCAAAUCCCCCCGUAAGUCUUUGCAACUUUGUAACAAAGCGGAAUAUAGAUGUACCCCCACUCUACCUUGCCAAGAUGCCAAAAUUAUAUAAAAAAAUCUAGGAGAUUUUUCCCAAGUCAAAAAAUAUUUGAAGGGUUUUGGCCCGACUGGACCAAAAUCUGACAAGGAUACUAGCGGAGGGCGCAAAAUUCCCCUUUGGAUCAGCUCUACUUUGGACUCUGGAUACGCCAGCACCCAAUCAAUAGUCGCCAUAACACGAUCCAAUCUUCUUCGGACACAUCUCCUAAUAGGCUGAUUGUUAGACCAGGAGAACCAACCCCCUGCUGCACCAAGGUCAGUUAAGCCACAUUUUGAUAUAAUAUGUCCAGAGUCCCUUGAAUCCAGUGGUAAAUAACCACUACCACCCAUUCUUUUUUAAUUAUCCAAUAAAGUAUUGGAAUAUCCUAAUAGCAACCAAGGUAUUGUAGUAUCAGCCCCAAUACAUCUCAUAUGGUCCCAAAGUAGAGCCAUCUGAGAUACAGAAUUAAAAGCAUACACCCCAAAAAUAAUUGAAGUAAAACCAUUACAUAAACUAGUGGCCCCAACAAUAAUCAUCUGAUCAUUAACAUAAAGAACAUUGAUGGAGUAGAUAGAUAGAUUCCAAAGAAGCAUAAUUCUUUAUCUACCAUUCACAUUGAUAGCAACCACAUUACUAUAUAAUCUCAAUUCCUUGACCACAUAUUAGUCAAAUCUAUUGGCAAUUUAGUCUCUAAAAAAAAUAAUAACCCCACAUUAUUUUGAAUUUUAGGAUCACCAAUAUCAAAUAUCCUACCAUGGCUUUGAAGGCCACAUACAUUCCAUACUAUGACUAACAUAUAUAAACUAGGAAGUAAAAAGCUUGCUAGAAGUAGGCUUACCUUUGCUAGCCAUCAGAGAAACUUGUGGGGUUUUUUGAGGCUUCCAAUAACUUAGCCUUAUACAUUACACAUUCUCUUGUAUCUGCACCCUCUUACCCUCAGCACCGUCCUCAAUGCUCGGUGCUAUUAUAUAACGGAGCCUCAUCAACGUCCCUGUUUGAAGGUGCAUCCACAAGACUCGCCUUAUUCAUUUCUGAUAGUGGACAUACCAACACCAAAUAGUUCAUUGCUGAUAGCCCUUUCUCUCUACAACUGUUGCUUGCGUGCCAAAAAUUAGGGGGAGUCGCCAAUAAUAAGUAACAUUGGAAAGGC